rnacentral:rRNA from 1 species
UACGUAGGGGGCUAGCGUUGUCCGGAUUUAUUGGGCGUAAAGAGCGUGUAGGCGGCCUGACAGGUCUGCUGUGAAAACUCGAGGCUCAACCUCGAGAUGUCGGCGGAAACCGUCUGGCUAGAGUCCGGAAGAGGAGAGUGGAAUUCCUGGUGUAGCGGUGAAAUGCGCAGAUAUCAGGAAGAACACCUAUGGCGAAGGCAGCUCUCUGGGACGGUAUUGACGCUGAGACGCGAAAGCGUGGGGAGCAAACAGG